CAGUCGCCGCGGGAAUACAGAGGGUGCAAGCGUUAAUCGGAAUUACUGGGCGUAAAGCGCGCGUAGGUGGUUUGUUAAGUUGGAUGUGAAAUCCCCGGGCUCAACCUGGGAGCUGCAUCCAAAACUGGCAAGCUAGAGUAUGGUAGAGGGUGGUGGAAUUUCCUGUGUAGCGGUGAAAUGCGUAGAUAUAGGAAGGAACACCAGUGGCGAAGGCGACCACCUGGACUGACACUGACACUGAGGUGCGAAAGCGUGGGGAGCAAACAGGAUUAGAUACCCCGGUAGUCCCUGUCUCUUAUAC
rnacentral:rRNA from 1 species